rnacentral:rRNA from 1 species
CCCUUAGAUGUUCUGGGCCGCACGCGCGCUACACUGACGAUGGCAACGAGUUUUUCCUUCGCCGAAAGGUGUGGGUAAUCUUUUGAAACAUCGUCGUGCUGGGGAUAGAUCAUUGCAAUUUUUGAUCUUGAACGAGGAAUUCCUAGUAAGCGCGAGUCAUCAGCUCGCGUUGAUUACGACCCUGCCCUUUGUACACACCGCCCGUCGCUACUACCGAUUGAAUGGUUUAGUGAGGACUCCUGAUUGGCGCCGCCGCCCCGGCAACGGAGCAGCGGACUGCCGAAAAGUUGUUCAAACUUGAUCAUUUAGAGGAAGUAAAAGUCGUAACA